rnacentral:lncRNA from 1 species
AUUUUUUUAAAGACCAUUAUCUUUCACACUUUUCUUUUUACAUUUUUAUUUUUUAUUUUAUUUAUUUGUCCGAUAGGUUUUUCACAGAUGCGUUUCAAUUUUGAAGUUAAAAAUUUAAUUUAACUUCAGAAAUUGCUUACACGCAUAGAGUCUUAUUGAUCGGCCUCAGAUAAAGUGAUUCUUACAUGAACAACUUUACGAUUGCUUAACAUAUCGUUAAAUUCUUUUAGUUUAAUUUUAGUUUUUUUUUUCGCUUAAAAUUGGUUUUUU